UGUAUCUACUGAGACCGUGCAACCCUCUAGGGAGGCAGCCCGACUAUAAAGAAAGUUGACCGUUUGCAAGUUGGUUUACCAGCAACACAAUCGAAUUGCGGGGAUCUCCUAAAGCCCGAGGCACCAUUCUAACGUUGAAAGACGGUAGCGACCGGUAAAAGCCCGAGGGAUGUACAAUGGACAAUCCGCAGCGAAGACCCUAAAGGCAUUGCCCAUGGGUAGCGUUCACAGACUAAGUGAUUGUGGGUAGUUUACUACUUAAGAUAUAGUCGAGUUACAGUGGUUAACACCCUGUAGAUACGUCCGUAGGUGAACCUGCGGAAGGAUCAUUA
rnacentral:rRNA from 1 species